rfam:Ovis aries breed Texel unplaced genomic scaffold TnplacedScaffold_004083534.1, whole genome shotgun sequence.
UCCCUGGUGGCUCAGAUGGUAAAGCGUCUGUCUACAAUGCAGGAGACCCGGGUUCGAUCCCUGGGUUGGGAA